GAGGUGAAGAGCAAUGGAGGAAAGGAGCAACAUUAAAGAAUUGCAGACAUUUAGCUUUUUUACCCUUCCAAUUGAUGCUUGACUGGGGAUAUAACAGCAAGCAAGGGCAGCUUCGGGGAACAUAACAUAGGUUUUUGAUGCCUCAAUUCUUCAACGAUGAUUAAAAUUACUCACCUUCAGCAAAUGGUCCUAUGCAUUAGAAAAUCCUCAUAUCAAAUCCCUAUGAAAUGUUAAUAGACGUAAACUACUAUUAAAUUACUCAAGCUUCAGCAAAUCGUCCCUUACUUGUUACAGAAUCCUCAUCUCAAUUCUCUAAGAACCAAAUUUGCCUCGCUUAAAGAGAACCUAACAAGCCGUUAUUUUUGCAUUUGAAGAAUGAGUAUUUAAGAGUUGAAGUUUGGUAAUUGCACGUCUGGAAGGUAAGUUACUUCAAGUGUUAUACAAAAAGUGAACCACACAAUGGAUAUUCCCUCUCAAAAUUAAAUGCAAAGGCUAGAGGCAUGAUGGACCAGGAUCAACCAGAACUUCAGAAACUGUCAUAGUAAAAAUUUAAACAGAGAUGGUAGUAUACCUCAGAGCUGUCUCUCUACCAUGUCGUACCUUCUAAAUAUUCUAGCCCAUGAUUUAUAUUUGCCCUUUUAGGCUAUCCCAGCUUCUUAAUAUUGCUGCAGUGAACUUUGAGCAGACUGGUUUUGCACUCUUAACUCAAGGAAUGCCUAUUUAGUAACCCACCAUCAAUAGCAAUGACUCAGAGAAAAUUAGUUGUCAAAAAGGAUAUAGUUCUAAUAAUAUAGAUAUGUUGAGGCACUUAACAACUUUAAGAAUUUUAACUAGCUCAUGAUUGAGGAGAAGUGCAGUAAUGGCAUCAAUACCAUUUUUCCCUUAAGAAACAUUUGGAUGCUGGGAAUGGGAUCUUCGAAUGAACAACGUUGAAGCCAGUUGUUCAUAAAAUAUGAUAGGUUGUGAUAGUUAACAGGUUCAUGUGAAAGAACAUUCAGAUUUUUCUUACCAAAAUGAAAAGCACUAAAUCAAGGCACAGAAACAUUACCUGUGCACCAAAGAGGUGAGUACCGGCACGUUAAUGAUGGAUCUAUCUGCU
rnacentral:lncRNA from 1 species